rnacentral:piRNA from 1 species
UUUUAAUAGUUUUCUAAUGACCCGAUCUGU